AACGCUGGCGGCAUGCCUAACACAUGCAAGUCGAACGAGACCUUCGGGUCUAGUGGCGCACGGGUGCGUAACGCGUGGGAAUCUGCCCUUGGGUACGGAAUAACUCAGAGAAAUUUGAGCUAAUACCGUAUAAUGACUUCGGUCCAAAGAUUUAUCGCCCAAGGAUGAGCCCGCGUAAGAUUAGCUAGUUGGUGGGGUAAAGGCCUACCAAGGCGACGAUCUUUAGCUGGUCUGAGAGGAUGAUCAGCCACACUGGGACUGAGACACGGCCCAGACUCCUACGGGAGGCAGCAGUGGGGAAUAUUGGACAAUGGGCGAAAGCCUGAUCCAGCAAUGCCGCGUGAGUGAUGAAGGCCUUAGGGUUGUAAAGUCUUUUACCCGGGAUGAUAAUGACAGUACCGGAGAAUAAG
rnacentral:rRNA from 1 species